CUUGUGUAUCAAGAAUUCUUUUUAGUGUUUUUUUUUUUUUUUGCUGAAAAGAAUUCUUUUUAGUUAUUUCAAGCAGUUUUGUUCUUAGUUUCCCUUUGUGACACUAGUGCUUCAUGUUCUGAAGUUUGAUAUAGCAUGUGAAGUUGCAGAGUUGUGAUUGAUGAAUUGAGUCAAUUUUAAUAGGAAAAAGUUGGAGAUUUACUUCUGAUUUAUUUAGCAAAAUUUGGAGUCAGGAGCCAAGUUCUUGUCAACUGUUCGCAAAGCAAGCUGUACUGAUGUAGAAAAUGCAGCUGUGAGAUAUGAACACACACAUAUCUAUAUAUUUCCUCUAACUAAUAGUAGUACUGAUAUAUAAACAUUGCAGAAAAUGGCGAAUGCACAUGAUUUUAUCUCAACAUUUCUGGACAAAGAAUAGCUAUUGCAAGAGCACUCCUGGUAAACUCAAGAAGCCUUCUUUUUGGAUGAUGCUGGUAGUGCUCUUGAUGCUCAAAGUGAAUAUCUAGUUCAGGAUACCAUGGAUUCUCUAAUGAAGGAAAGCACCGUCUUUGUCUUUGUCAUAGCUCAUUGUCCAAUGUCAAAACAGCAGACACCAUGGCUGUUGUUUCUGAGGGACAAACAGUUGAAAGUGAUACUCAUCAGAAGCUACUCUCGAAUCGUGGUAUUUAUACUUGUUUGGAGGCAAUUUACAAGGAACUUGAGAAAUAAUCUGAACUUGAAUUACUAUUGUAGAAGACAAGUUAAAAUAAAAACAAUUUCAUAAAUAAGUUUCCCUCUAUUCUGUUAGUUCCUUGCCUCUUUGAAAGUUUUGGAAAUUCCUCUACUGAAUUUCCUACUUCAAACUAUUAUAUUUUAAGGUUGGUUAUAAUCCUCCUUUUUUUUUUGUCCCUUUAAACCCUUUUUACAGUUGAGUUGAUGAAUGUCAAUAAAUUACAUCUGUUAAGUAAACGAAACAAUAAUAGUAUUAGGUUCCUAUCAUUAUUAUAAAUGAUAAAUGUGUAGUUUGCAAUAAAAAUAACUAUAAUUAUCAAACAUAUUAAAGAUCAUUAAUAAUGAACUAAAUUCGUUAAUAUACAUCAAGGAAACAAAAUGCUCUUAUUUUCUAUUUUACACAUUACAGAAUAAACUAAUUUUGCUUCUUGUAUGGUACAUUUACUAAACAGUACAUCUACUGUCAUGAAAGGCUAUAAAAAAAUAAAUUAAUGUAUCAAAAAUUCAAAGCUAGGUCUGCGUUAAGCAGAAAGAGGCAACCUGAAGGUAUAUAUCUUCUUUAAGCCUUCGUGGUUGGUAGACUCUUUCUUUACAAGCAGCAGAAGAAAGAGAGAAAACGUCUGCAAUAUGCAUUAGAUAUGUACAAAGAGAAAAAAGAGAAACUCUCUUUUGAACAAAUGUACAGCAAUACCUUGGGUGAGAACUUUUGAUGAUGAAGCAAGAAAUAAAUUUUUUUAUGUGCAUCAAAGGACUUCAGGCUUGAAUUCAAAGCGUUUGGACUGUGCUUCAAUCCUGGCUGUGUAUCCUACUGUGGUGGGCCUAAUUGAUCUUUGCCUCACAAUAUGACAGAACUCAGGAUCAUCCAAUUGCCCAUCUUUUCUCAUCCACUGAAUCAUCUGAUGGUAUGUGGGGAAGAAUCUUAUUUGGAUGGAUGCAUAAGUGAAGUAAGGAGCAAGGGAUGCAAUUAACACAAAGAGGGUUAUAAGCCAGUAAGAUGGAGAUGGUGCACAUGCUUCAAUGAAGACUUGAUAGGCAGUGGUUGAGAGGGAUGGGGUCAAGGCUCCAUAUGCCAAUUGGAAAAUGUACCAAAAUGCAAUGCCACCCCAUAUGAAGAGAUGUUGUAUGUAUGUGAAAUAGUUGACGGACAGUGCCAUUUGACAGUUGACAACACACACUACACAAGUGUACAUGGUGGUUCCAAGGAUAUCCAAGCUAGCUACUUCUCCACCGUUGCGGAAUGCUUGACUCUCCAUAGCUUGGUUGCAGAAGAAGAAGAUCAAGACGGCACUUAGUAACCCGUUAAAAGCCCAUCCUAGUAUCCGGAGCCAGCUAAAGAGGAUGUUUUGUACACCUUCUUGAUAUAGUAAUGGGAACUGUGAAAUGAAAAUAAAGAGCAUUAGAUUAGAUGUUAAAUAAAUUGAAAUAUAAUUCUUCUUUUAAGUUUAUGUGUAUUUUUAGUUUCUUUUUUCUUUC